ACCAGGCGCAGUGGUGCACGCCUGUAAUCCCAGCAGCUAGAGAGGCUGAGACGGGAGGAUCGCAAGUUCAAAGCCAGCCUCAGCAAUGGUGAGGUGCUAAGCAACUCAGUGAGACCCUGUCUCUA
rnacentral:sRNA from 1 species